AGUAUAGCUUUUUGGGAGAGUGACUGCCUGGCAUGCAGAAGGCCUGAGUUCAAUCCCCAGUGCU
rnacentral:tRNA from 1 species